rnacentral:rRNA from 1 species
UACGGGGGGAGCAAGCGUUGUUCGGAUUUACUGGGCGUAAAGGGCGCGUAGGCGGCGCAACAAGUCGAUUGUGAAAUCUCCGGGCUUAACUCGGAGCGGCCAAUCGAUACUGUCGUGCUAGAGUGCGGAAGGGGCGACUGGAAUUCUCGGUGUAGCGGUGAAAUGCGUAGAUAUCGAGAGGAACACCUGCGGCGAAGGCGGGUAGCUGGGCCGACACUGACGCUGAGGCGCGAAAGCUAGGGGAGCGAACGGG